rnacentral:rRNA from 1 species
CUUCGGCUCCCUAGUUAGUGGCGAACGGGUGAGUAACGCGUGAGCAACCUGCCUUUCAGAGGGGGACAACAGCUGGAAACGGCUGCUAAUACCGCAUAACAUGAUUUAGCCGCAUGACUGGAUCAUCAAAGAUUUAUCGCUGAAAGAUGGGCUCGCGUCUGAUUAGCUAGUUGGUGGGGUAAAGGCCCACCAAGGCGACGAUCAGUAGCCGGACUGAGAGGUUGAACGGCCACAUUGGGACUGAGAUACGGCCCAGACUCC